rnacentral:rRNA from 1 species
CCCUUAGAUGUUCUGGGCCGCACGCGCGCUACACUGACAUGACGAACAAGUAUGUUUUGCUCCUAUAUUUUAGGGCAGAGUAGUCCUUAUCCGGAAGGAUUGGGUAAUCUUUGGAAUGCAUGUCGUGAUGGGGCUAGAUUUUUGCAAUUGUUAAUCUCCAACGAGGAAUUCCUAGUAAACGCAAGUCAUCAGCUUGCAUUGAAUACGUCCCUGCCCUUUGUACACACCGCCCGUCGCACCUACCGAUUGAACGAUCCGGUGAACUCGUUGGAUGUGCCGCGUUGGGCGUGAGUUUGACGCGGCGUAGAAAUCGAGUAAACCUUAUCGUUUAGAGGAAGGUGAAGUCGUAACA